rnacentral:rRNA from 1 species
GAUGAACGCUGGCGGCGUGCCUAAUACAUGCAAGUCGAGCGAACAGACGAGGAGCUUGCUCCUCUGACGUUAGCGGCGGACGGGUGAGUAACACGUGGAUAACCUACCUAUAAGACUGGGAUAACUUCGGGAAACCGGAGCUAAUACCGGAUAAUAUAUUGAACCGCAUGGUUCAAUAGUGAAAGACGGUUUUGCUGUCACUUAUAGAUGGAUCCGCGCCGCAUUAGCUAGUUGGUAAGGUAACGGCUUACCAAGGCAACGAUGCGUAGCCGACCUGAGAGGGUGAUCGGCCACACUGGAGCUGAGACACGGUCCAGACUCCUACGGGAGGCAGCAGUAGGGAAUCUUCCGCAAUAGGCGAAAGCAUGACGGAGCAGCGGCGCGUGAGUGAUGAAGGUCUUCGGAUCGUAAAACUCUGUUAUUGGGGAAGAACAAAUGUGUAAGUAACUAUGCACGUAUUGACGGUACCUAAUCAGAAAGCCACGGCUAACUACGUG